rnacentral:misc_RNA from 1 species
GAUGGAGUUGUGACAGAGCCAUGUUGGUUGCAGUUUAUGAGAGAAUGGGGUCCAACCAUCGUAUAUGACUCAAGAUCUGAACUAGAUAAGAUUAUCAGUCUCCUCCCAUUCUUCGUUAGAUUCUCAGUGGAGAACAUCUUUGACCUGUUCCCAACAGAGCUUUACGGCGAGGAGGGGCCAACUGGACCUAAGGUAAAAGAUAACUGGUUGGGAGAUGAAAUAUGCUAGUUUCGUGGCGUCCAAAUCCUGCAUUGUGCUUAUUACUAUCUCUAUUUAUCACCGUCUAGGCAUGUUGAUAGAUGGUUUGGCAAAGCUAUGGAUCUGCAGCUGGAUCAUCACCUAUAGCUUUUUACUGUGCUGGAUUGCUGUACAAAGGGCACUUGAAAAUUAUGAUUUGCCUUUUGUGUUCACAAGAAGCAAGAAAUUCUGUCUAGACUACAGAGCUAGAAGAGGUGUUCAUACCACAGCCAAACAUGAGAUCAGUUCACAAUUAUGCUUCACUGAGAUCAACAGCAUUGAUGACCUGAUUACCAAUAUCGGCUGAUGUUUUUUUAUUGCAUCAUUUGAAAUCUGUACUGAAGUGUUUGCUAUUGUAAUACGAGGACAAGGGUUGAUGGGAGCUGAUACUCCCUCUGUUAGAUAUAUGCCUAUGUACCAAUAUAUUGAUGCCUUGCCAUGGAGUGGUAUUGUAGAGUAACGAAAGCUGUUGAAUGCAAUUUGUCAUAAAUCGUUAUCAAGUGGAAGUAACAAUCACAAUCAAUUACAUUAGAAAUAGCGUGUAUGAGCAAAGAUACGCCAUUUCUCAGCGUGCUACCCUGCUAUCCUUGUUCACGGCGCGUUCCACACGGUAGUACAACCAACUUUUGUGCCCUGACUUCGGAGUGUCAGCAAGUGAGAAAGAUUAGUGCAUUUUCUCUGCAACAUGCGACUCCUGAAAUUGCCCUUGUAAUGUGUAACGUUGGAAUUAGAAGCCUCAGGUGCAGGAGGGGCCAUGCUUGAAGUAGGCAAGCUGCUUGUCUCUGGUGCAGAAGGAACAACACUUGGCAUGGGUGGCUUUCGCUCGAAUGUGGAUUCAUCAAGAGAAACUCGUUGCACUUCCUCCCACUCUAAUGAUCUCCUAUAUACUUCCCAAGCCAUGUCUUGCUCCUCCUUUGUUAGCUUUUCCUCUUCAUUCUCUUGCAAAAGGGUUUCAUGCUCAUGGUAAUUCGCAAUCCACCUUGGAUGGUGCUUGCCGAGUAAGCUCUCCAUUAAUUUGUCUGAAGAGCAGCCGCCAUGAGAAAGAGGAACCCUCUGUUUCAGUGAAUCUCCCACUUGGCAGCUCAUGUCACGGUCAUCUGCUUGGCCAAGCUCAGUUAGAGGGUCAGAAUUCUCAUCAUCACCAAAUUCAAAAAGAUGCAACAUUUCUUCUUUAGAAAUGGUCCUGUGUACUUGUUGUCUAUCGACUACCCUUGCAGCAAGCCCCUCCUUUGUCACCUGACGCUUGUAGAUUUUUUCUUCCAUAGUUCCAUGUGCCAUCAAUCUGUAAGCAAACACUGGUUUUUUCUGGCCAUACCUCCAAGCUCUAUAAAUGGCCUGAAGAUCAUAUGUUGGAUUCCAAGAACCAUCAACAAUAACUACACGGUUCGCAGCAUGAAGAUUAAUCCCUAGAGAUCCAGCUCGAGUAGAAAUCAGAGUGCAUUUGACUCUUUUAUUCUCAGGAUCAUUAAACUUCUCAACUAGUCUUUGCCUUUCAGAACUCUCUGUUCUUCCAUCUAGCCUGUACCAAUCUUUUCCUUUUCUCCAGAACUUUCCUCUUUUUCCAUGUCGAGGCAAUCUUGAAAGAUAAAAUUCAAUGAGAUCUAAAGUGGGAAUGCUUUGGCUAAAAACCAAUGCCUUAUCACCCACAUGAGAACACAUGCUUAAAAUGUCCAUCAGCAAUACCAUUUUGCCACUGUAAUCAAGCUCUUUAAAAUUAUUUUCAUGAAGAAGAUCAUUCCACCAAUCCUUCUGAAAAAAUCCACCAUUGCUUUUCCCGUGCAUAAAAUCAUUUGCACUUCUUGGCUUCUCUCCAACAAUAUUAUUGUAAUCUAUAUUUUCAUCACUAGAACUUUCAUCUGCAAUAAAAUUCUCAACAGUUUCCUCAUGACUAACGUAAUCUCUAUCUUUUCUCAAUUGCAGAAUCCCAGGAUGGUUCCAUAUCUGGCAAACAUGGUAAAACUUUUUGUUAAAGGAAGCAAACAUAGAUAAAAAAAAAGCAAUUAUUUGAAAGAAAAUAAAAUGAUGCAUCAAUAUAUGCAUCAAGGACUAAUCCAGCUCUUCUCCUUCAUUUGUGAUUACUCAAUCAUUUUCACAAACAUCCACUUUUCAUACACCCAAGAAAUAUAUGGCAAAAUGAUGCAGAUUUUAUCAAAUAGCAAAUUUUUUAACUAAAAUAUUGUUAGAUGAAUUAAUGCAUCAGACGCCUUCAUUCCUUCACCACUUGGCUAAAGCCCAAGCAUGGUUUUAAAUAACAAUCAUUUUGUAUUGGUUUUUUGACCUACUGUUACUUUACACGCCAUUUCAGGACAUUGACAGGGGAAGCAUGGAUGAAACAAACCGUUAAUCUUUGCCUGCUAGCAUGUAGCAACUUCUUUUGCGACUUCCAGCUAGCUUUCUUGUAUGUAUGGUUGUAUAUGAUAAAUAAAAUAGCAGAUUCUUGACACUUUAAUUCUUGAGUGCAUAUUAUAUUUAUGGUGAAUGAAUCAAGGAGCUAAGACAACACAAAAAGUAUAGUCGAGAAUACACCUGAGCCAGUGCCUGGUAUCCAGCGAAAAAACUCUUCCUAAUCUUUUCAUUGGAAAUCUUAUCAUUUGUGAAUCCAUGCACAACAAGGAACCUCUUGUAUAAUUUCCUUUGCAAUGGAGACAGCUUUACAGCUAUUACAAAAACAGUUUUAGGUGGCAAGUCCUUCUUCACCACAGUCAUGUCCAUUCUUUGGACAAAUCCUUUUAAUUGUUCAUAAAGGAUAUGAGAUCUCUGAUUCAUAAUUUUCACAUCAUUGGUAGUUGUAUUAGUAUGCUGUCCGUUCUCUAUAGGGUUUUGGAACCGGUUCCUAAACUCAUGGCUGCUUCCAAGAAAACCUUCUCUUACAAAAUCGACCAUACAAUAAUACUCCAUUAGAUUGUUUUGAAGAGGUGAUCCAGUUAAUGCAAUCCUCCUCUGGCAUUUCACUUGCUUCAAUGCUUGGGUUGUAUCCGCCCUGGUGUUCUUAAUCAUAUGGGCUUCAUCACAAACAAGUAUAUCAGGUCCAUCCUGCAAAGCAUAACAAAUUUCCCUAGCCAUGUUUCGAUCCUUUACAUUCUUUCCAAAAGAUAAGUUUCGAAAAGCAGUGUAACCAAUAAGAAAAACUCCGCCCUUAGCCCUCCAUUUUGCAAACAAUUCUGCUCUUCUGUCCCUUGAAACGUCUUCAAGCAUGAAAACACGAAGGGGCUUUACUUCUGAGGGCCUCCACUUCAAGAAUUCCUGCCGCCAGUUAUGAAGUACAUUCACAGGGGUAACAAUAAGUACAGUUCUUAAUCCCAAAUCAACAUUUCUCAUAGCAGUGUACAGGAACGCUAUGACCUGAAAAGUUUUACCCAGGCCCAUCGUGUGAGCCAAAAUGCAACCAAGACCUCUAUCUCCAGAUUUCACUUUCCCAAUUGACUGAAUAAUAUUCUCCCACAUGAAUCGUAUCCCUGCCACCUGAUGGGCUUUCAAUUUGGCUGAUAUGCUUGGAGGAAUCCUCACAGCCUCUUCACCUUUUUCCCUCACAACAUUCACUAUAUAACCUGUUGCGGCAUCACCAAGUACUUCAACAUUUGCACCUUCAGGUAAGCUUCCAUUGCAGCUUGCAGAGCUCAUCAUCUUGGAUUUGUCAGUAAACUGUACUUUCAGAGACUUCAAACGUUCUUGACGUUCCUUUUCGAUUGCAAUUUUCCUUUGGGUCUCUUCUCCUAAUUCAGCAUCAUCAAGGAUCCUUCGUAUCUUCUUCUUCCUCUUUCUCUUACUGAUUGCAACAAGGGUAUCUGCAUCUGAGUUUUCUGAUUCACUAUCAGAGCUUGAAACCAUCAGAUCUUCAGAUUCCAUGGCUUUCUCCAAUUCUGAUGUCAAUCUUUGUAGUUGACUUGGCAAACAACAACAACAUUGCCACCCAGAAGCUUGUACCUUAGACAAGAAAUCUUCACCGAUAUUCCUCUUUAUACAAGUGGCACAGAAUAAUGUUUUGCACGACUUGCAACUUACUAAGUCAUUGCUUUUUCCACACCAUGCACAAUAGCAUUCAGAACAAUCAGGAUCCUUCAAUUGCAUCUUGUCCUCUAUUAAGCUUUUGCAAUCCUUGCAAACAAUUACUUUCAAAAGUGGAUGUGAAUGCACUUCGAGAGCAAUUAUAUCACAGGCAGUACAAUGAAACUCCUCAUUCACACCAAGCACAAGAUGGCUAUCAGCACUAGAGUCCCCAAUGUUUUCUUGCAACAUUGAUUGAUCCUCCACUUUACUGGCAUUGCAAACUGAUUGACGCAUCCCAAUAUCAGCUUCAUCGUCACUGUCUAUGAUAACUGGUCGAAUCUUCUUAGCAUCAAUUUUUGGCUCCUCACUUUCAUUUGCACGCUUAGACCUUCUGGAUUCAAUUAUAUCAGGCUCAGAAAACACUGAAUUGCCAUUGCUCAUUGCUUGUUCCGCAUCCAAGAUCUUAGAAAUUUCAGAAACAUCUUUCAUCAAAUUUUCACUUGGCAUAUCUUCCCCAUGUUCAUGAGUUUUCUCAUCAGAAAUAUCACAUGGAGACAACAGACCAUUGGCUUUGCCUUCCAUCACCUGUUUAGAUCUCUUACGACGUCUCCUUUGCUUCAAAUGAUGAUGAAGUUUCUGAUCAAUUCUUGCAUCAUCUUCCUCUUUGACCUUUGAAUGUACAAAGAUAAGAACCACACAAAUUCAGAUAUUGUCUGUUCGUAUGAUCAGAACAUUGACAAUCACUUUCUAUAAUUUUUUCUCUGUUCUUCAGAAAGAAUUAGUUCCUUUUCAUUUGCUAUGGCAUCAGCAAUGAAUGGAUCACUAGAACUGCCAUCGAUGUCUUCAAUCUCCUCGACCUCGUUGACUCCAGGAAAUUUGAGUCCCAUCUCUGCAGCUUCCUGAGGAGUGCUAGCCAGGUAAACAGCAGCCCAAUGCUUACUACCAAAUGAAGCAACAUCCUUAGAAAGGCCACCUGAAAAUAGUUUCUUGAGAGAGUCCCAAUCUACGUCUCCAUUUUCUGCUACAUCUCCCUUGCUUCCAUCUGUAGAAAGUUUUUUCUCCAGAAAUCCGCUAGCACCCUCCUCCAAAAGUUUCCCAUGCCGUCUUCUCACAGGCCUGUGGCUCUGAAGAUACUUCUCAGCAUCAGCUACUACCUCUAUGAUUUCACUGGUCACGUGAGAUCCUACCCAGUGUGCCCUUCUUUUCCAAGCUUCAGUCUGGCAACCAUUUGGAACCUGACUUUCAAUCCAUUUAUACAAGCUUGAUAACUCAAUACCGGCACCAUCAAGUUGUUCCAACAAGUGAGCACUUUCAGUCUCUAGCUCAUCAAGCACAGCUUCCCAUUCCUCCUUGAAAGUAGUCAUCUCAUUUUGAACAGCCGCCUCCAGAUCAUCAGCAUGAAGAGUUUGUGCCAACUCCUCUCUCACAUCACUCUCCACUUUGAAAAGAGACUCCUUCUCAAGUGCUUCUUGAGCCUCUGCAGCCUUGCUCUCAACUUCCAUGAACUCAGCAACUAGCUCUUCUAUUUCUUGCUCAGUCAAAGGUUCCUCAAGAUGUAUUCCAUCAUCUUCUCCAGAUGUAGAUGGUUCGUCAACAUCUGAAUCAGCAAUAAAAGAAUCACUAGAAGCACUCUCAACAUCUUCAACAUGCUCUUGUUUUUCUUCCAUCUUCUCCAAGUCACAUCAGAUAGAAAGUAGCACUCUAAAUGAAUACCUGGGAGCGCUAGGGCAGUAUCGAAUCGAGCCUGGGUUUUAGGGGGAGAAAGUAAGAAAUUUUUUUUAAUAUUUUGGGAUUUUUUUUAUCAGAGAGAGAA